rnacentral:rRNA from 1 species
GAUGAACGCUGGCGGCGUGCCUAAUACAUGCAAGUCGAGCGAACAGACGAGGAGCUUGCUCCUCUGACGUUAGCGGCGGACGGGUGAGUAACACGUGGAUAACCUACCUAUAAGACUGGGAUAACUUCGGGAAACCGGAGCUAAUACCGGAUAAUAUAUUGAACCGCAUGGUUCAAUAGUGAAAGACGGUUUUGCUGUCACUUAUAGAUGGAUCCGCGCUGCAUUAGCUAGUUGGUAAGGUAACGGCUUACCAAGGCCACGAUGCGUAGCCGACCUGAGAGGGUGAUCGGCCACACUGGAACUGAGACACGGUCCAGACUCCUACGGGAGGCAGCAGUAGGGAAUCUUCCGCAACGGGCGAAAGCCUGACGGAGCAACGCCGCGUGAGUGAUGAAGGUCUUCGGAUCGUAAAACUCUGUUAUUAGGGAAGAACAAAUGUGUAAGUAACUAUGCACGUCUUGACGGUACCUAAUCAGAAAGCCACGGCUAACUACGUG